CCAAAUUCAAACGGUAGUAGCCAGCCCUCCGCCAGAGAAAGGCAACGACAUUGCCAAUUCUUUGCGAGGAUUCUGGGAGCAGUAACCUUGGAGCUCUGUGUAGGCGGCCAGGCUUCCGCUACAGGAGGGCGUGGCUGUGACGAUUAUCUCAUUGGGGAUUCUGGGGUUAUAAUACAGGAAUUGUGGGUAAGUACAGUCACUUCUGCUCCAUGAAAGUGAGGUCAUCAUUCGUUUCAGGAAGUUGAGUGAGGCCUGAGACAGCAAUGUUUCGUUUAGCCUGGCGGUGGCCCUCCUUGUCUUCAAGAAGAGCAUCCGUGGCUAGCAGUGGAAGAUGGGGUUGGGCCCCAGAGACGCGAUCUUACUGCAUUGACCAGGAUGGUCUCAAACUCCUGGCUACAGGCUAUCCUCCUGCCUCUGUCUCCCAAAGCGCUGGGAUUACAAGCGUGAGCCACCAGGCCUGGCCCAAUUGCUUCUUAACAACUUACUAUUCUUUGUUCACUACAGUGUAUACAUAACUGACUUUUUAUUUGGAUCUUCAUUUUGUAAUGAAGGCUCUGGUCACAUGUAAGACUUGUAUUAAAUAAAUUUGCCUGCUGUUCUGUUAAUCUGUGUUAUGCUAAUUUAAUUCUUGAGCCCAGCUGGGUCCUGGAGAGGAUAGAGUGAAAUUUUGUGGCAGCUACGUAAGUCAAUGAAAUUGGAAACAGAAAAACAAUCUUUAAAAAUCAAUAAAAUCAUAAACUUAUUCUUUGAGAAGAUCAAUAUAGUUUAUAAACCUUUCAACUGACUCACCCACAGGGAAAAAGAAGAAAACAAAAAUCAGGAGGGAGGGAAUGUUAUUACAAAUUUUGCGGAUAUUAAAAGGAUUAUAAGGGAACAUUACAAACAACUCCUUGUCCAUAAAUUGAUCAAUUUACAUGACAUGGAAUAUUACUUGAAAGGCACAAACUACCAAAGCUCACUCAGGAAGAAUGGAUAACCUAGAUACUUGCGUGUAUGUAUGUGUGUGCAUACAUACAAUUUUUACACACACACACACACACACACAUAUAUAUAUAUAUAUGCACAGUUAAUUUUUUCUAUCUUUUGUAGAGAUGGGUUUUUACCAUGUUGCCUGGGCUGGUCUUGAACUCCUGGGCUCAAGCGCUCUGCCCACCUUGGCCUCCCAAAGUGCUGGGAUUACAGGCUUGAAACACUGCACCUGCCUGGCCUGAUAUAUAUUUCAAAACUGAUUUAAUAGAUAAAGCCUUCCAACAACAACAAUAAAAAAAACAAUAUUGAGAUGAAUUCAUUGGUGGAUUCUACUAAACAUUUAAAGAGUAAAGAUGUGAAUUUUAAAUAAACCCAGAAACAAAAAGAGAAGGGAACACCCA
rnacentral:lncRNA from 10 species